UCCGGCUUAUCACCGGCAGUCCCACUAGAGUGCCCAACUGAAUGAUGGCAACUAAUGGCGAGGGUUGCGCUCGUUGCGGGACUUAACCCAGCAUCUCACGACACGAGCUGACGACAGCCAUGCAGCACCUCUACUACUGUCUCUUGCGAGAAGGCGAUAUUUCUACCGCUGGUCAGUAGCGGUUCAAGCCCAGGUAAGGUUCUUCGCGUUGCGUCGAAUUGAACCACAUGUUCCACCGCUUAUGCGGGCCCCCGUCAAUUCCUUUGAGUUUUAGCCUUGCGGCCGUACUCCCCAGGCGGGGUGCUUAAUGCGUUAGCUUCGGCACGGACGGGGUUGAUAUCCGCCCACACCUAGCACCCAACGUUUACGGCUAGGACUAC
rnacentral:misc_RNA from 1 species